AUGGUAUAUGUCAACAAUAUCUUGGAAGGUUGUGGAACUCGAAUUGCUGCCAAACUUGAAAGUAUCGAACCUUCCUUCAGUAUUAAAGAUAGGAUAGCCAAUAGUAUGAUUAAAGAUGCAGAAGAGAAGGGCUUGAUCACACCAGGGAAGACUGUCCUUACUGAGGUUACCAGUGGUAACACUGGAAUUUCAUUUGCAUCCAUUGCUGCAGGAAACGGGUAUAAAGUUAUUGCUAUCAUGCCAGCUUCAAAGAGUCUUGAGAGAAGGGUUGUGAUGAGAGCUCUUGGAGCUGAGUUAUACCUCACAGAUCCAAACAAGGGCUUCAACGAGGUUCUUAGGAAGCCUGAGGAAAUACUGAAAAAUACACCUAAUGGUUACAUGCUUGAUCAAUUUGUAAAUCCGACCAAUCCUAAGGGAUUAUAUUUAGGGUUUGUUGUCAUUUGUAGAUUCAAUGAAACCACUGGACCAGAGAUUUGGAAAAACUCGGGAGGUAAAGUUGAUGCCUCGGUUAUGGGAAUAGGGACUGGUGGCAGAGUAACUGUUUGGGUUUAUGGUGUAGAACCGGCAGAAAGUGGAGUCUUAAAUGGAGGAAAACCGGGUAAAAAUCUGAUUGAUGGACUAGGUGCUGGUGUUAUACCUGAUGUUUUGGAUGUUGGCAUGCUUGAUGAAGUUGUUCCGCUAAAUUCAAAACCAUCUCACCAUUGGUUCCAGGUGAAGAAGCUAUUGAACCAGCGAAGCUGCGUGCUUCAAGAGAAGGUUGGAAUAUCAUCUGGUGCUGUAACUGCCGCUGCUAUAAAGUUGGCCAAAAGACCAGAAAAUGCAGGCAAACUUAUUGUAGUUUUUGCCAGUGCCAGGGAGCGAUAUCUGUCCUCUAAGUUGUUUGAGUCCCUUAGGCAUGAGGCACAAAAUAUGACCUUUGAUUGA